UACGGGGGGUGCAAGCGUUAAUCGGAAUUACUGGGCGUAAAGGGUGCGUAGGUUGUUGUAUAAGUUAGUUGUGAAAUACCUGUGCUUAACGUGGGGGUGUCAAUUGGUACUGUAUGACUUGAGUAAAGCAGAGGGUGGUGGAAUUUCCGGUGUAGCGGUGAAAUGCGUAGAGAUCGGAAGGAACAUCGGUGGCGAAGGCGACCACCUGGGCUAUUACUGACACUGAGGCACGAAAGCGUGGGUAGCAAACAGG
rnacentral:rRNA from 1 species